UGCAUUUUCAACACUUCCAGACAAGUACAACACUUGCAAACACUGACUUUGGCCAUUUUCCGCUCCCAUUCAUUUUCAAUGGGAAAUUUUCACUUCACCAUAACUUUUGAUAGGAAUGUCCGAUCGCUGGUUCAUUACUAUUUCUAGAUUCAGCAUACCCGAAAAUGGGGGGUAGACCAAAUCUCAGCCCGGUUCAUCGAUGGGAAAGGCAAUGAACCGGCAUGUCAAAAGUGGCACAUAUCCCUAUAUCCUGCCCCAAAGCUCCAACCCCCGAAAACUUCACCCACAAUCAGGUUCUAUGGACUCCCCGUGGCCUGAAACGUGCUCCUAACACAAUUCUGGAAGGUGAAAAAUUGGGUCCGCACUUAGGAAAAUCUUCACAUUUUGGGAAAAUCUUCACAUUUUCCUAACCCUAACCCUAACCCUAGCUCCAACCCUAACCCUAACCCUAGCUCCAACCCUAACCCUAACCCUAGCUCCACAACUAACCCUAACCAUAGCUCCAGCCCUAACCCUAACCCCUUGCCCAAAGUCUCACCCUAACCCUAACCGUCGGACAUGUGCAGCAGCACCACCUCUGGUCAAAAGCGGUAUGACACCCCUUUUUGCAAAGUCGCCCUCAAAUGACAGGAAAUGGCCUGAAACGUGCUCACAAUGCAUUUUCAACACUUCCAGACAAGUACAACACUUGCAAACACUGACUUUGGCCAUUUUUCCGCUCCCAUUCAUUUUCAAUGGGAAAUUUUCACUUCGCCAUAACUUUUGAUAGGAAUGUCCGAUCGCUGGUUCAUUACUAUUUCUAGAUUCAGCAUACCCGAAAAUGGGGGGUAGACCAAAUCUCAGCCCGGUUCAUCGAUGGGAAAGGCAAUGAACCGGCAUGUCAAAAGUGGCACAUAUCCCUAUAUCCUGCCCCAAAGCUCCAACCCCCGAAAACUUCACCCACAAUCAGGUUCUAUGGACUCCCCGUGGCCUGAAACGUGCUCCUAACACAAUUCUGGAAGGUGAAAAAUUGGGUCCGCACUUAGGAAAAUCUUCAGAUUUUGGGAAAAUCUUCACAUUUUCCUAACCCUAACCCUAACCCUAGCUCCAACCCUAACCCUAACCCUAGCUCCAACCCUAACCCUAACCCUAGCUCCACAACUAACCCUAACCAUAGCUCCAGCCCUAACCCUAACCCCUUGCCCAAAGUCUCACCCUAACCCUAACCGUCGGACAUGUGCAGCAGCACACCUCUGGUCAAAAGCGGUAUGACACCCCUUUUUGCAAAGUCGCCCUCAAAUGACAGGAAAUGGCCUGAAACGUGCUCACAAUGCAUUUUCAACACUUCCAGACAAGUACAACACUUGCAAACACUGACUUUGGCCAUUUUCCGCUCCCAUUCAUUUUCAAUGGGAAAUUUUCACUUCGCCAUAACUUUUGAUAGGAAUGUCCGAUCGCUGGUUCAUUACUAUUUCUAGAUUCAGCAUACCCGAAAAUGGGGGGUAGACCAAAUCUCAGCCCGGUUCAUCGAUGGGAAAGGCAAUGAACCGGCAUGUCAAAAGUGGCACAUAUCCCUAUAUCCUGCCCCAAAGCUCCAACCCCCGAAAACUUCACCCACAAUCAGGUUCUAUGGACUCCCCGUGGCCUGAAACGUGCUCCUAACACAAUUCUGGAAGGUGAAAAAUUGGGUCCGCACUUAGGAAAAUCUUCAGAUUUUGGGAAAAUCUUCACAUUUUCCUAACCCUAACCCUAACCCUAGCUCCAACCCUAACCCUAACCCUAGCUCCAACCCUAACCCUAACCCUAGCUCCACAACUAACCCUAACCAUAGCUCCAGCCCUAACCCUAACCCCUUGCCCAAAGUCUCACCCUAACCCUAACCGUCGGACAUGUGCAGCACCACCUCUGGUCAAAAGCGGUAUGACACCCCUUUUUGCAAAGUCGCCCUCAAAUGACAGGAAAUGGCCUGAAACGUGCUCACAAUGCAUUUUCAACACUUCCAGACAAGUACAACACUUGCAAACACUGACUUUGGCCAUUUUCCGCUCCCAUUCAUUUUCAAUGGGAAAUUUUCACUUCGCCAUAACUUUUGAUAGGAAUGUCCGAUCGCUGGUUCAUUACUAUUUCUAGAUUCAGCAUACCCGAAAAUGGGGGGGUAGACCAAAUCUCAGCCCGGUUCAUCGAUGGGAAAGGCAAUGAACCGGCAUGUCAAAAGUGGCACAUAUCCCUAUAUCCUGCCCCAAAGCUCCAACCCCCGAAAACUUCACCCACAAUCAGGUUCUAUGGACUCCCCGUGGCCUGAAACGUGCUCCUAACACAAUUCUGGAAGGUGAAAAAUUGGGUCCGCACUUAGGAAAAUCUUCAGAUUUUGGGAAAAUCUUCACAUUUUCCUAACCCUAACCCUAACCCUAGCUCCAACCCUAACCCUAACCCUAGCUCCAACCCUAACCCUAACCCUAGCUCCACAACUAACCCUAACCAUAGCUCCAGCCCUAACCCUAACCCCUUGCCCAAAGUCUCACCCUAACCCUAACCGUCGGACAUGUGCAGCAGCACCACCUCUGGUCAAAAGCGGUAUGACACCCCUUUUUGCAAAGUCGCCCUCAAAUGACAGGAAAUGGCCUGAAACGUGCUCACAAUGCAUUUUCAACACUUCCAGACAAGUACAACACUUGCAAACACUGACUUUGGCCAUUUUUCCGCUCCCAUUCAUUUUCAAUGGGAAAUUUUCACUUCGCCAUAACUUUUGAUAGGAAUGUCCGAUCGCUGGUUCAUUACUAUUUCUAGAUUCAGCAUACCCGAAAAUGGGGGGUAGACCAAAUCUCAGCCCGGUUCAUCGAUGGGAAAGGCAAUGAACCGGCAUGUCAAAAGUGGCACAUAUCCCUAUAUCCUGCCCCAAAGCUCCAACCCCCGAAAACUUCACCCACAAUCAGGUUCUAUGGACUCCCCGUGGCCUGAAACGUGCUCCUAACACAAUUCUGGAAGGUGAAAAAUUGGGUCCGCACUUAGGAAAAUCUUCAGAUUUUGGGAAAAUCUUCACAUUUUCCUAACCCUAACCCUAACCCUAGCUCCAACCCUAACCCUAACCCUAGCUCCAACCCUAACCCUAACCCUAGCUCCACAACUAACCCUAACCAUAGCUCCAGCCCUAACCCUAACCCCUUGCCCAAAGUCUCACCCUAACCCUAACCGUCGGACAUGUGCAGCACCACCUCUGGUCAAAAGCGGUAUGACACCCCUUUUUGCAAAGUCGCCCUCAAAUGACAGGAAAUGGCCUGAAACGUGCUCACAAUGCAUUUUCAACACUUCCAGACAAGUACAACACUUGCAAACACUGACUUUGGCCAUUUUCCGCUCCCAUUCAUUUUCAAUGGGAAAUUUUCACUUCGCCAUAACUUUUGAUAGGAAUGUCCGAUCGCUGGUUCAUUACUAUUUCUAGAUUCAGCAUACCCGAAAAUGGGGGGUAGACCAAAUCUCAGCCCGGUUCAUCGAUGGGAAAGGCAAUGAACCGGCAUGUCAAAAGUGGCACAUAUCCCUAUAUCCUGCCCCAAAGCUCCAACCCCCGAAAACUUCACCCACAAUCAGGUUCUAUGGACUCCCCGUGGCCUGAAACGUGCUCCUAACACAAUUCUGGAAGGUGAAAAAUUGGGUCCGCACUUAGGAAAAUCUUCAGAUUUUGGGAAAAUCUUCACAUUUUCCUAACCCUAACCCUAACCCUAGCUCCAACCCUAACCCUAACCCUAGCUCCAACCCUAACCCUAACCCUAGCUCCACAACUAACCCUAACCAUAGCUCCAGCCCUAACCCUAACCCCUUGCCCAAAGUCUCACCCUAACCCUAACCGUCGGACAUGUGCAGCACCACCUCUGGUCAAAAGCGGUAUGACACCCCUUUUUGCAAAGUCGCCCUCAAAUGACAGGAAAUGGCCUGAAACGUGCUCACAAUGCAUUUUCAACACUUCCAGACAAGUACAACACUUGCAAACACUGACUUUGGCCAUUUUCCGCUCCCAUUCAUUUUCAAUGGGAAAUUUUCACUUCGCCAUAACUUUUGAUAGGAAUGUCCGAUCGCUGGUUCAUUACUAUUUCUAGAUUCAGCAUACCCGAAAAUGGGGGGGUAGACCAAAUCUCAGCCCGGUUCAUCGAUGGGAAAGGCAAUGAACCGGCAUGUCAAAAGUGGCACAUAUCCCUAUAUCCUGCCCCAAAGCUCCAACCCCCGAAAACUUCACCCACAAUCAGGUUCUAUGGACUCCCCGUGGCCUGAAACGUGCUCCUAACACAAUUCUGGAAGGUGAAAAAUUGGGUCCGCACUUAGGAAAAUCUUCAGAUUUUGGGAAAAUCUUCACAUUUUCCUAACCCUAACCCUAACCCUAGCUCCAACCCUAACCCUAACCCUAGCUCCAACCCUAACCCUAACCCUAGCUCCACAACUAACCCUAACCAUAGCUCCAGCCCUAACCCUAACCCCUUGCCCAAAGUCUCACCCUAACCCUAACCGUCGGACAUGUG